rnacentral:rRNA from 1 species
CAAUAGCGUAUAUUUAAGUUGUUGCAGUUAAAAGCUCGUAGUUGGAUUUCGGGUGGGUACCGCCGGUCUCCCAUUGGGUAUGUACUGGCGUGGCCUGCCUUGCUGUCGGGGACGAUCUCCUGGGCUUUAUUGUCCGGGAAUCGGAGUCGACGAGGUUACUUUGAGUAAAUUAGAGUGUUCAAAGCAAGCCUACGCUCUGAAUAUAAUAGCAUGGGAUAACACGACAGGACUCUGGCCUAUCGUGUUGGUCUGUAGGACCGGAGUAAUGAUUAAGAGGGACAGUCGGGGGCAUUUGUAUUCCAUUGUCAGAGGUGAAAUUCUUGGAUUUAUGGAAGACAAACAUCUGCGAAAGCAUUUGCCAAGGAUGUUUUCAUUGAUCAAGAACGAAAGUUGGGGGCUCGAAGACGAUUAGAUACCA